rnacentral:RNase_P_RNA from 1 species
UUUCAUGGAUAGCCAUUCGCCGGUGUGCCUUCGGGUGCACUGGAGGAAAGUCCGGACACCAUAGGGCAGGAUGCCUUGUGAAAGCAAGGGAGGUAUCCGAGAGGAUAUCGACGGAAAGUGUCACAGAAAACAUACCGCCCGGGAUUCGUUCUCAGGUAAGGGUGAAAUGGUGGGGUAAGAGCCCACCGCUCCAAGAGUGAUCAAGGAGGCAGGACAAACCCCAUCCGGUGCAAGGCAAAAUAGGGAACUGGGCGGCCCGUCCGAUAAUGUUCCGGGUAUGCCGCACCUCGCGAAAGCGAGGGAGGGGAAACCCUCAGAUAAAUGGAUGGCCAUCGGGAAACCGGGGACAGAAUCCGGCUUACUUCCAUGAAACAGU